rnacentral:tmRNA from 1 species
GGGGAUGCAAUGGUUUCGACAGGGUGUUGAUAUGGCGUAUGAUGCGUGUCGUGCUUCGCCGGUGGUGCACGUAAAUUCAACUGGCAACAUUCAAGUGGCAACACUUACUCCUACGCAAUGGCUGCUUAAUUUAGAGUAACCAUUACGCAUCCGCCUAACGUGUAUCUGUUCGGGUUAGUUGCGGGUGUAAAACUUAAACAGAGCGAUGUGUCGGCGUGGAACAGGCUUACACAUUCGACUUUCUGCUUCUAGCAAUUGUCUGCCUGUCGUUUGGCGAAGACAAAAGCGAAUGCCAUAAAGCGACUACACACGUAGUGUCUGCGUUGUACGCACUUUGGACGCGAGUUCGAUUCUCGCCAUCUCCACCA